rnacentral:rRNA from 1 species
AAAACGUAACAAGGUUUCCGUAGGUGAACCUGCGGAAGGAUCAUUG